rnacentral:misc_RNA from 1 species
UUUCCGUAGGUGAACCUGCGGAAGGAUCAUUACUGAGUGAGGGCCCUCUGGAUCCCACCUCCCACCCGUCUUUUUGGUACCUUGUUGCUUCGGUCAGCCCGCCUCACGGCCGCCGGGGGGCAUCUGCCCCCGGGCCCGGGCUCGCCGAAGACACCCUUGAAAUAUGUCUGAAGUUUGCAGUACGAGCGAAAACUAAAUAAGUUAAAACCUUCAACAACGGAUCUCUUGGUUCUG